rnacentral:rRNA from 1 species
UACGUAGGUGGCAAGCGUUGUCCGGAAUUAUUGGGCGUAAAGCGCGCGCAGGCGGUUCUUUAAGUCUGAUGUGAAAGCCCACGGCUCAACCGUGGAGGGUCAUUGGAAACUGGGGAACUUGAGUACAGAAGAGGAAAGCGGAAUUCCACGUGUAGCGGUGAAAUGCGUAGAGAUGUGGAGGAACACCAGUGGCGAAGGCGGCUUUCUGGUCUGUAACUGACGCUGAGGCGCGAAAACGUGGGGAGCAAACAGG